UACGAAGGGGGCUAGCGUUGCUCGGAAUCACUGGGCGUAAAGCGCACGUAGGCGGACUCUUAAGUCGGUGGUGAAAUCCUGGAGCUCAACUCCAGAACCGCCUUUGAUACUAAGGAGCUUGAGUCCGGGAGAGGUGAGUGGAACUGCGAGUGUAGAGGUGAAAUUCGUAGAUAUUCGCAAGAACACCAGUGGCGAAGGCGGCUCACUGGCCCGGUACUGACGCUGAGGUGCGAAAGCGUGGGGAGCAAACAGG
rnacentral:rRNA from 1 species